rfam:Schistosoma margrebowiei strain Zambia genome assembly, scaffold: SMRZ_contig0004405
GUAAAGACCCUAUUCAGGGCCACACACAAUUUAAUUUAAAUCCUUU